UACGGGAUAAUAUAUUUGAGAGGCAUCUCUUGAAUAUCAAAGGUGAGCCAGUACAGGAUGGACCCGCGUCUGAUUAGCUAGUUGGUAAGGUAACGGCUUACCAAGGCGACGAUCAGUAGCCGACCUGAGAGGGUGAUCGGCCACAGUGGAACUGAGACACGGUCCAAACUCCUACGGGAGGCAGCAGUGGGGAAUAUUGCACAAUGGGCGAAAGCCUGAUGCAGCAACGCCGCGUGAGGGAUGAAGGCCUUCGGGUCGUAAAACUCUGUCCUCAAGGAAGAUAAUGACGGUACUUGAGGAGGAAGCCCCGGCUAACUACGUGCCAGCAGCCGCGGUAAUACGUAGGGGGCUAGCGUUAUCCGGAUUUACUGGGCGUAAAGGGUGCGUAGGCGGUCUUUCAAGUCAGGAGUGAAAGGCU
rnacentral:rRNA from 1 species